rnacentral:lncRNA from 1 species
AUGCUCGUGGGUGAGACAGAGAUAAGACAGGAGUAGAAGAGAGAGCAGCGAUAGCCAACAGGCGCUCAUAGCUUCUGCUUUAAACCAAGCUCAGAGGAGAGAAGGUGAGAAAACACGCAUAUUACGUUUCAGUUCUAAAUCUCUCCAAGCAAGACACACCCAAGGCACGGAUGGAGUUGGUAGUUGCUAUAUCUUGAAUCAAGACUUGUGUGCUAAAGGACAGGUCACCAGCCUGUAAUGGCACUACAUGGAGUUGCUGAAAAUUUGAGGGGAAGAACACAAUUAGAAGAAGUUCCGUCUUUGAGGUCAUGCCUUGAAGGGAAUAGUGAGUCCUCGGACCCUUGUCUCUUUCUUUGCUUUCUGAUUAGCAUAAGGCGAACGGGCAUCCUCAGCCGCUAGCUCCUGCCAUAGUGCGCUGGACUGCCACAGUCCCAAAGCAUCGGGCAAGGAGACCACAGGCUGAAACUGCUGACCCAGCAGCCGCGUGAACCUUUUCUUUCGCUAAGCUUGUUCUCUCAGGUACUGACCGGAAGCUGACUUGCUUGAAGAGGAUGAGACUAACGAUGCAGUAAAGCACCGGAAGUCCAAUCUAUUCACCAUUAAAGACUGCCUGACAGCUCACCUGUGGGCUCUGAGAAGAAG